UGUAUGGAUGCUGCUUCAAUUUGAUCACAUGCUUCCACCAUAGCUUGAAUGAGGGCCAUCUGGACAUAGGGCCGGAGAUCAUAAACCUUCCACCGCCAUGCUGAGAAGAACUCCUCGAUGGGGUUUAGGAAGGGGGAGGUAUGGUGGAAGGUAUUGAACUGUAGAUUGUGGGUGUUGAUGAAACCAGUUUUGGACCAGAGCAGAACGAUGGAAAGCUACAUUGUCCCAGACGACAAUGUAUUGCAUCUGGUCCCUUUGGUUUGCUGCUGUGAUAAUAUUGUGUAAUCUGUCUAAAAAUGUAAGAAUGAGGUCAGUGUUGUAAGGACCCAAGUUGGCAUGGCGGUGGAGGACCCCAUUCUGUGUAAUGGCAGCACAAAGGGUAAUGUUACCCCCACGUUGCCCUGGUACAUUGACAAUAGCCCUGUGGCCAAUGAUGUUUCUUCCCCUUCUUCUCACUGUUGUCAGGUUGAAUCCAGCCUCAUCAAUGUAUAUAAACUCAUGCGGGACUUCCUCCGCAUCCAUUUGCAAAACUCUCUGAAAUACAGCAAAAGAUCACAUUGUGUAGAUCAAUUUACUGUAGGUCUGCUAUACAG